rnacentral:rRNA from 1 species
CCCGCAGACGAUAAUGAUUGUACCCAUCAGAGUAAGACCCAGUCUAUUUCCGUACCAGCAGCCGCUGCAACAGAGAAGCAGACUAGAGAUACUCUGAAUUACUGUAGUAAAGCUCAGCGUAGGCGGUCAAGUAGUCAGUGGUGAAUCUACAGGCUCACUCUCGGAAUCCGUUGCAGUGCAAGUCUCAGUCCGGAUAGAGGUGAGUGGAAUUCCUAGGUAGAGGUGAAAUUGGUAGAUAUUAGGAAGCACAGCAGUGGCGAAGGCGGCUCUCUGGUCACGGUACUGCAGCUGAGAGUGAAAAGCGUGGGGAGCAAUCAGGAUUAGAUACCGUGAUAGUGAGAAAGUAACACGAUGGAUGAAGGGAGAAAGCAAGACAGGUAUUCGGUAAGGCACAGGGUGCAAUCAGCAGAGCGCAUGAGGAAUACGGCAGCAAGAAUAAAACUCAAUGGAAAUGGUGCGGUCGGGCUCAAGCGGUUGAGCACGUGGUUUAAUUUGAAGCAACGCGAAGAGGGGGGCCAGCUCUUGACAUUCACUGAUCGUUUCCAGAGAUGGAUUCAUUCUAGCAAUAGGCAGGGGGACAGGUUCACCAGGUCUGUCGUCAGUUAUCGUCGGGAGAUGUGGAUAUAAGUAUUGCAACGAGCGCAAGACUUGACAUUAGUUGCCAUCAUUAAGUGAGCCAGUCUAGUGGGUCAGUGGGUGAUGAAGCGGAGGAAGGUGGGGAUGGCGUCAAGUCAUCAUGGCCCUUACGGGCUGAUUCACACACCAGUACAAUGGCGGUGACAGUGGGCAGAAAGCAGCAAUGAGCGCAAAUCAAUAAAAGCGAUUUCAGUUCGGCAUGGGGUCUGCCAGUCGUCCCCAUGAAGUCGGAAUCGUUAGUAAUCGUGCAUAAGCAUGGCGCGAUGACAACGUUACACGGGCAACAACACACCGCCCGUCACACCAAGGAGUUGGCUUUACCGUUAAGCGUGUCGGUAACCGCAAGGAGGCAGCAGGUCUCAUGUAAGGUCAGCGACGGGGGUGUAAGUGGUCAACAACGUAACUCGAAUCUCUGAAGAUCCGCGCGAUCUGUCC